GCCGAGCGAUCCCGGAAGGAGCCGAAGCGACAAUGCGGGGGAAGAGAUAGAGUCUUCCUCUGUCGCCUAGGCUGGAGUGCAGUGGCGCGAUCUCGGCGCACCGCAACCUCUGCCUCCCGGGUUCAAGCGAAUUCUCCUGCCUCAGCCUCCGGAGUAGCUGGGAUUACAGAUGUGCUCCACCAUGCCCGGCUAAUUUUUGUAUUUUUAGUAGAGAUGGGGGGGUUUCACCAUGUUGGCCAGGCUGGUCUCGAACUCCUGACCUUGUGAUCCACUAGCUUCGGCCUCCCGAAGUUCUGGGAUUACAGGCAUGAGCCACCACACCCGGAUGAAUUAUGCCAUUUUUAAGGCAAAGGUCUCCGUAACUAUUAAUUUCUCUGUCCUUCUAAUCUGUAUUCCCUGAGAAAUUAAUUGGGCUGGCAAGUCAAAGCCCUGAACCCCAGCUGCAGCUUUCUGAGCUUGUUCUGUCCAUCUGUGAAGUAAGGCAAUGAGAAGUGAGUCGGGGAACGGAACCCACGAUGCGUCAGAGGAGUGUUCCAGUUGCACACACACUCCCCAGCCACCUGGCAGCUCAGUCUAUAAUCUGGAGGCUUCCACAUCUACAGCUCCAUACAAAUGAACCUCUGGUUCUAAAGAAGUUUCUUCCUUGUCUGGUUCUCACUUUCUAAACCUCAGUCUCUGGAGAGAAAAGGAGUCCUGGAGGAUGAACAAGGCGAGCUUGGAGUAAUUUGGAAAAGCUAAUGUUGUAGGACAGAAGCAAAGCCUGCAAGUCACAGCCUAGGUUCCCUGAGUGAUGUUUUCAGCAGUAAACUGCAACUUCAAAGCUAAGAGCCAUCCUAAUAAUUUGCCAUAAAAGGUAGCUUGUUAAAAAUGA